AUGAACGCUGGCGGCGUGCCUAAUACAUGCAAGUCGAGCGAACGGACGAGAAGCUUGCUUCUCUGAUGUUAGCGGCGGACGGGUGAGUAACACGUGGAUAACCUACCUAUAAGACUGGGAUAACUUCGGGAAACCGGAGCUAAUACCGGAUAAUAUUUUGAACCGCCUGGUUCAAAAGUAAAAGACGGUCUUGCUGUCACUUAUAGAUGGAUCCGCGCUGCAUUAGCUAGUUGGUAAGGUAACGGCCUACCAAGGCAACGAUGCAUAGCCGACCUGAGAGGGUGAUCGGCCACACUGGAACUGAGACACGGUCCAGACUCCUACGGGAGGCAGCAGUAGGGAAUCUUCCGCAAUGGGCGAAAGCCUGACGGAGCAACGCCGCGUGAGUGAUGAAGGUCUUCGGAUCGUAAAACUCUGUUAUUAGGGAAGAACAUAUGUGUAAGUAACUGUGCACAUCUUGACGGUACCUAAUCAGAAAGCCACGGCUAACUACGUG
rnacentral:rRNA from 1 species